AUUGAACGCUGGCGGCAUGCUUUACACAUGCAAGUCGAACGGUAACAGGCCGCAAGGUGCUGACGAGUGGCGAACGGGCGAGUAAUGCAUCGGAACGUGCCCAGUCGUGGGGGAUAACGCAGCGAAAGCUGCGCUAAUACCGCAUACGAUCUAUGGAUGAAAGCGGGGGACCGUAAGGCCUCGCGCGAUUGGAGCGGCCGAUGUCAGAUUAGGUAGUUGGUGGGGUAAAGGCUCACCAAGCCAACGAUCUGUAGCUGGUCUGAGAGGACGACCAGCCACACUGGGACUGAGACACGGCCCAGACUCCUACGGGAGGCAGCAGUGGGGAAUUUUGGACAAUGGGCGCAAGCCUGAUCCAGCAAUGCCGCGUGCAGGAAGAAGGCCUUCGGGUUGUAAACUGCUUUUGUACGGAACGAAAAGGCUCUGGUAAAUACCUGGGGCUCAUGACGGUACCGUAAGAAUAAGCACCGGCUAACUACGUGCCAGCAGCCGCCGCAGUAA
rnacentral:rRNA from 1 species